CCUACGGGGGGCAGCAGUGGGGAAUAUUGGACAAUGGGGGCAACCCUGAUCCAGCCAUGCCGCGUGUGUGAAGAAGGCCCUCGGGUUGUAAAGCACUUUCAGUGAGGAAGAACGCCUGGUGGUUAAUACCCAUCAGGAAAGACAUCACUCACAGAAGAAGCACCGGCUAACUCCGUGCCAGCAGCCGCGGUAAUACGGAGGGUGCGAGCGUUAAUCGGAAUUACUGGGCGUAAAGCGCGCGUAGGUGGCUUGAUAAGCCGGUUGUGAAAGCCCCGGGCUCAACCUGGGAACGGCAUCCGGAACUGUCAAGCUAGAGUGCAGGCGAGGAAGGUAGAAUUCCCGGUGUAGCGGUGAAAUGCGUAGAGAUCGGGAGGAAUACCAGUGGCGAAGGCGGCCUUCUGGACUGACACUGACACUGAGGUGCGAAAGCGUGGGUAGCACACAGGAUUAGAUACCCUGGUAGUC
rnacentral:rRNA from 1 species